rnacentral:lncRNA from 1 species
AUGGAUUCUAGUAGAAGUAUAUGUUUCAUUCUGAGAGUGAGAACAAUGAAUCUGAAGAAGGCUCUGCAGAAUCUUCCUUUUCCACAGAAUCUGAAGAAGAAAAUGAAGAAGGAGCUGCAUCAGCCCAGUCAAUGGCUGUUUCUCGAAAAGAUAAUGUUUCUUGGAGGCAUGAAGCAAAUGGCUCUAUCUUCAUUUCCAAAAGUAUCCACUACUUCAAAGAGUAUUCUUGGAGUCAUUAUCUAGAGGAAAUUUUUUGAAAG